rnacentral:pre_miRNA from 1 species
GCUGUAGUGCCGACCGUCGAUGCGUCGAACCGUCCCGGCCGGGUGUGACACCAGUAACGUCAUAUACACCCGACCGGGACGGUUCGACGCAUCGACGGUCGGCACUACAGCUUUA